AAGAACGAGCACAUGUCGCU
rnacentral:misc_RNA from 1 species